rnacentral:rRNA from 1 species
AUGAGCAGUAAUUAUGACGCUCUGCUUGAUGAAAUUAUCCAGCAUAUCAGACAGCUUUGGGGUCAAGUGAAUGGACAGCAGAAUGGGAUGGUGGAAGGUAUUUUAAGCUUGCCCCAGGGUGCAGGCAAAUUCAUUAUUGUGCUACUCGCUCCACAACACUGGGUGCGCAAUAACACUGAUCCAGUUAGACUAUUGUUUUCCUUCCAUAAUCUGUAUUCUGAUGGUUUUCACCGAAAAGGCAAGUGGUACCUAUUUAAAGAUAUCUAUCUAGAGAUGCAACAGCGUGGAGAAAUUGCAGGAACCAAUUUAAGAUCACUUGGUUUUACUGGCAACUAUAACCAACUGGGUUCUGAAUUCAGUAGCAUUAACUUAGGAGGUUAUGCGCUCUUCCAAAUUUACAAAGGCAUUACUGAGUUUCCUGGGAAAGAAAUCAAACCACAGCUCAAGCUGAGUGUGGUCAGCUUUUCAGAGAGCAUGCGAUUUCCAAUGCUUCGCAAGUACAUACGUGACCGCAUGUCCAUGGGUCUGUCUUCCGCAGAGAAUAUUGAAUGGUUGUCGCAUCAUUUCCAGGAUUGGUCAGUUUAUUGUGAGAAGAUACGUGACGGUAGAGAUGCUUUUGGAGCUAUUCCUGGAAUAGAUAACUUUGAUGACCUGCUUGCACUUGUUAGUAUGAUACUAUAG